rnacentral:lncRNA from 10 species
CCUUGGUCUUCACAGGAAAGUCGUGAGCAACCCACAUAAGUAAAGCUGUCCUCUUUCUCACUUCCUCUUUUUUCUUUCUUGCCCAACCCCUCUUCUUGCUUUAACACAGAAGAAACAACCCAGGUUAUACUCUUUCAUCUAAACUGGACAUUUAUUUGUAAAUGAGGGAUUGGGCUGUUGUUGAAUAAACAGGGGAUAAGUUAAAAGAGAUUGCUUGAAGAAGGAUUCUGGGAGUUAACAAUGGCUGUGGACAUGUGAAGGAAUAGAAGAGGAGCAGACAAUUGAGAGGCCUGGCUCAUGGAUGGGUUUGAACCACCUCAGGACUGAAGAUGAGCGGCUCAGUUUCACUAACAACAAGAACAGUGACAAAUUCCCUGCCCGGCCCAAGCUCUGUGGUCCUUAUGCAGAUGCCAGUGGCACCCCUGUCCCAGAUGUGACAACCAAAAAUGAUGUCAGACAUUGCUGAAUUGUCCCCUGGAGGAGGAGAAAAAUCAACCCCUUUGAGAACUGCUGGGCAGCUCUAAAGCUGGAGAUCCCUAUGCCAAGCCCUCAAAGCAGCCCCGACUUUCCGUGCAAUAAAGCAGCAGUGAGAAAGGCUCAGAGUAAUUAAGUGGCUGACGCACAGAAGAAGCCGUUACAAAGAAUUGACUAAAUUGCCCAUUCAUUAGCAGCUCGGCAUGGAAGGAGAAUUACAAAUAGACGGCGGAGCCCGCAGUAAUUCAAUCUAACCUUGUACUUACAGAAAACAAUGAGAUAAUGAACAGAAAAAUUACCAGGCACAUAUUGUAUUUUGUUAAAGG